GAUGAACGCUGGCGGCGUGCCUAACACAUGCAAGUCGAGCGAAGCGAUUUCGAGGAAGUUUUCGGAUGGAAUUGGAAUUGACUGAGCGGCGGACGGGUGAGUAACGCGUGGGUAACCUGCCUCAUACAGGGGGAUAACAGUUAGAAAUGACUGCUAAUACCGCAUAAGCGCACAGGACCGCAUGGUCGAGUGUGAAAAACUCCGGUGGUAUGAGAUGGACCCGCGUCUGAUUAGCUGGUUGGUGGGGUAACGGCCUACCAAGGCGACGAUCAGUAGCCGACCUGAGAGGGUGACCGGCCACAUUGGGACUGAGACACGGCCCAAACUCCUACGGGAGGCAGCAGUGGGGAAUAUUGCACAAUGGGGGAAACCCUGAUGCAGCGACGCCGCGUGAGUGAAGAAGUAUUUCGGUAUGUAAAGCUCUAUCAGCAGGGAAGAAAAUGACGGUACCUGACUAAGAAGC
rnacentral:rRNA from 1 species